rnacentral:misc_RNA from 1 species
GUUUAUAAUUGCGCAUUACUGCACGAUAAGACAUUCUUUACAUUAAGAGUUUGUAAAAACUUGGCCGUUGAGGCUCGAUCGUUAAGACCAAGACCGUUAUCCGACCAAAGGUAUGCACAGGUGUGUGUGGGUUUGCGACCGAAGCGUGCACAUGUGUCUAUAUGACACCAGCACAGACGACAGCCGACUUUGAAGAUUCGUUAAUGAUCCUUCCGCAGGUUCACCUACGGAAA